rnacentral:lncRNA from 1 species
GGUGGAACCAUGUGAUAUUUUGCAUCCGUUUAGACAGAUUUAAUAUUUUCCACUAAGUAUGUUCUCUCACUGGGACGUAUAACAUCAUCACAUUUGAUGUGUCUAACAAGAUUCUUUUUCUCCUUCACGAAAAUGACAAGCAAAGGGAAAAUCUAAUUUAGGAUACCUUAAGCCGGCUGGUAGUGUUUGAAUGGUAGAACAAUGGAGUCAGCCAAACCUUUUCAUGGCCAGGGCAUGUGACUUGCCCAGGGCCACCUGGCUACCUGGUAGCUAACGUUUGAGCCCGGACUCCUGACCCCUGGUCGUUCCUCUGUUUCGUGUUCUUUGUGCUUCAGAACACCUGCGACUCCAUCCCAAAGCAGAUCGUUUUGGCUCAGAAUCCAAAAGAGCAAAAUUAGCUCUUAGGUAGCUGAUAUCCUGUUGAUCUUAAUUACCCAUCCAAAUCUCGAUCAGCAGCGCUUGCUAAAUGAUCUUGCUUUUGUAUUGAGCCGUUGUCAUCUGCUAACAGUAUUGCCUGGAGUCAGAGAACAAGAGGUGUCUGACUUGAACCACUUAAUUUCUGUUCCCCAAAAUGGUAACCUGGCUAGAGAAGAAAGUAGAGUAUGCCUUUGUGAAAUUACUUGUGUUUAGAACUGAGUUUUGUAAAAACCUGUGCCAGUGCCUCUCCAGAAGGGCAAAUUUGAUCACCUGAAUACAGGAACGAUGCGCCUGCCCUACUCUAGGUAUAUUCCUUAAAAGAGAGACAUUUUCAGCACAAAAUGAACUUUUUUUGUGUUGUUUGCCAUUUUGAGGCAACAUAUUGUCUCAUUUAACGUUUUAAACUUCUGACAAAGAUGCACGUGGACAAUAAACCUAGAGUACAGCUGUUUGCAUGUUGCUUUAAGCACUGGAAGACAUGAAUAGCGAUGUGGUGUUUUUUUGUUUGUUUGUUUGUUUGUUUUUUGUUUUUUGGGAAGAGGUUCAGUAGGAGAUAUUCAGGGUAGUUGUAUUUUUGGUGCCACAAUUUUGAUAUUGCUGGCAUUUGAAAAGUUGCUUUAUGAAUUUAAAGAAAGAAAACUCAAAGCACUAAAGUUUUGAGCCAAUGCAAAAGAAUUUUGACAGAAAUGCAGUUUUAAGAUAGCACUCUUGUAACGAGUUGUGCAAUGACUUAUUUGAGUUAUCUUUAUUCAAGAAAAGAUAAGUCAUUAGACUAUAAAUUUCCAGUGAAAAAGACAAGUCACAAAACUAAUCAGUGACUCUAAACAACAAUUUACUGGAUUAAUUGUAUAUAUAAAAUUCUAAUCACUUGUGAUUCUUAGUUAACGUUUUAUAAGCUUUGUAAUUUACCAGGGCCUCUAUUUUUAUUUAUCCAAAACGAUUGGUUUUGUCCAUUUCUCUCAGCCAUUUGCAAAAAUACGCAAGUGUGCUGAAACUUGGAUAAGACGGGUCAUGUAUACAGACAAAAUAACCUAAACGUUUCAUUUUAAGAGGGUUUUAGUGGUGUCCAAAAAAAUUUAAAGUACUCCGUGACCAUAAGUAUAUUUUAAAGGGGGAGUAAGAUUUAAAUUCAAUGGAUUCAUAAAAGCGCUAUUUUAAAGACAGUAUUUGCUUUUGCAAUUGGAGCAUGAUUCCUCAACUAGCUGUUGCAUUUCAUUUCACCUGUCUAGAUUAGAGUCUUUAAUUUGUAGUUUAAUCGUGAUGUGAAAAGCCACCUUCUCCCUAAGCCAUCAGUCUUUUCCAUCCGUUUCGAACAUGCUAAAGCACUUUGAUCUUGCCCUAAGUGUUGUCCCCCACCCCGAGGCUGUGUUCACGAACGGGCAGCCUCAGCUCACCAGCUCUGCAGUUUGGGAAGAGUAAGUACCCCCUUCCCAUACCAUCGGCAGGAACCAAAUAACUUUAAUCUUGAUGAUCUGUACAACAUGAAUCUCUGUUUCACAGCACGACCAGUAAGCACAGUGGUGGCUGAGUAAAGACAACAUUGCAUCGGCCUUAAAUGGUUUGAAGGAACCUGUGGGGAGGGGCCCUGGGCCCCUCGGAGUGUUAUUUGGCCCUUCCCCCACUCCUUGGGCGAGCAGCCGAGGAUGCACUUGGGUAAAAGGCAGCCACAGGUUUUCAAGUUAUUUUCGUCUGUAGGGCCGUCUGUGAUGCACAGAAUGAACAGAAACCGGAAUCUUCCUUUAACCUCUUCAACAUUUCACACCCAUCGAAAGAGAAAUAGGGAAAUAUGUCGAGGGAAAUAGAAUUUCCCAGUUCUGUUAGGGAAUUAGGAAGCUCGUGGCCCAAUUUUUUUCUUCUACCAGGUCCCCGCCCAAGGCAAGAGAAUAAACACUAUGUCAAAGAGUAUAACACCCUUUUUUUUUUUUUUGCUAGUUUCGUUGAUAGCUAAUCAAACUGUAAAUACCAUUACAAAUAGAGGUUCUGAGCACCAACGCACGCAUUGUUGCCAUGUUUUCAUUGUUUGUGUUAGUUUUUAAGGUUUUUAUUUUAUUCCUUUUUCAUAUCUUUAAGUAACUAAAGAAUUUAAUUUUGAAGGAGAGUUCGAGAAAGUUCAGAAUUUUACUACAUGUAUUUAACCUGCCUAGAUAGGUCCUAAACUGACACUGAAGCAUGACAAGGUAUAGAGUAUAGUUCAUAGCUACUCCUUACAGUUCACAGUUUAAGAACAAACUUAACUUUAUAUACAAAUAAUUUUUAACAAAUUAUAUCUAGUCGUUGCUUUAGCAACAAACCUACAACAUGGCUACCUUUAGACAUUUUUUUGUGUGUGAAGAUUUUACUUGUAAACUGUGUGUGGUUUUUGACAGUGUGAGCAUGUAGCAGAUACAGCUCAGAAAACAGAAGUGGUUGGUUUUUCUUUUAAAUCCCAAAUUCCCAUGUGAAAGCUGAAUUUGUGUCCUCGUGUGACUUUUUGAGCAAAAAGUUUACAACACUUGGAUUCUAGAAUCAGGCUUUCCAGCUGGUAGAAUUUGUUGUGUAGAUAUAGGGUUAUUCCACAGUAUUUCGACGCCAAACACAGUCGUACUUAGCAAACGUCCUGAUCUCUUUGUAUAACUUAUUCACAAUUAUUCUAUUCAAAUGGCAUAGCUAUAGCUUCAAAAAUUCUCUUACUCAAAAUUAUUCUAUUCAAAUGGCAUAGCUAUAGCUUCAAAAAUUCUCUUCUACAAAUCUAUCCAAAUGAGGGUUAACGAGUGGCAAAAGCAUUCAAUUAAUACUUUCAUACAAGAUCAAAUUAAUUCAUAUUUGUGAAACCAUCCAUACAGAUACUGUGGAAUGACCCCCUAACAGUGUGGAAGAGACAUAUGCUGCAGUUAACUGAUGGUCUCAGUUAGGGUGCGAACGUGUGAGACACACCUUUUUUGCACUUAUGUACAUAGUCCAUGAAAGCAAUCUUGGAGCUUUUUUUUUUUUUUUUUAAUAUAAGAAGUCUGUGAUAAUAGUGGAAAAGUAGAGAGUUCUUUCUAAGGCUUUGAGAAGAAGGGAGCUUUUUGCUACAAGACUUAGGCAUGAUCUUGCUUUGCUGUUACGGAGGCUUUCUAGUUGGCUACACUCACCCACCGUAAGAGAAGACUGGUUACAGGUAACAGGCCCACUGUAGCUAACAGCACUGAACAAAAGUUAAGGUGCUUCAUCUUUCAGCAAGACCGCUAGCAGAGAUGGUUUCAUUUUCAAAUUAAUCCUCACUGCAAACACACACACACACACACACACACACAGCAGGUUUCUGGUGGAGGUUUUCUUUUUUCACUAGUUGCCAAGACCGAAUUGGCAACCACUAAAAGAUGUGAUUGAACAGUUACGUAUGACCAGCCCGGAGCAUUUCAUUCCCUUCAAUAGAGGGAAGAAGGCUCCUGGCACAAUUUUAUAAAUGGCCCUAUUCACUUUAUACCUGUUCAGCGGAAGCUGUUUUCGGCCUUGCCUUGACCAGAUGAGACAGUGCUUCACUGUGUCGCUUCAGCCUCCCACUGUUUCGACUCAACAGAAGAGACUGCCACAAUCUUGGGUACAUCGGAGCCAGAAAAGACUGUUUCAGUCACACCAUCUCUGCCAGUUUCAGCUCCCAGGUCACCAAUAGCUCACCGUGUAUCUUUUUGUUGCCUCCAGGCAACGAGGCCUGGGGAAGGUCGAGGUUGGCAAGGUGUGAGGGUGUGAGGAUCGAUCACCGAUCACCGCAGGGACUUGAGUCCUUCCACCCGGAGCCCUGUCGCCCUCGCCCUCCGGGUGGAGGGAAUCGGUCUCAGCAUCGCUGCGCGUGUUGCUGCUUCUCACUCGCAGAGACGGGAAAAUAAGCCAAAGCCAGAAAGCGGUUUAAGCCUUACAGUUGUCCAAUAGCUCAGGGCUAGUUGGUUAGAAAUUCCUUUAUUUUUUUCUCCCCUUCAAACCACAGUCACUUCGAAUCAGCCGUACAGCUAACAGCCGGACCGGCUGACCGGCAUUUCCAAGGAACGACCUAAACUGGGGAUGCACAUUCAUUCUGCAGUUAGGGACUCCGACUUUCACCUUCUCGCCGACCUAUCCUCCCAGCUUAACCCAUGUUCUUGUGUUGAAAUGUCUUUGCGAAUCUAUAAGCCACGCAAAUGUAUUUUCAUAAGGUCGAUAGAAAUAUAGUAAGAUUUUAAGUCUGGAAGAAUCAACUAUAAAAUAGUAAGAAUGAAUCUAAGAAGCAUCACAAAAGAUAGCCAAUUAAUGGGUGGCAUGACAGCCCCUGGGUCACACUCUUUGGAGCUUAAACACAAUGCUGCGUUUUAAGGAAGUAAAAUAAGAGACUGAAAAGACCUCUCUUAUUAAGCCCCAGAAAGAAUUUAGUUUGACUAAUCCAUACAGUUUCCAGCCUCUCCACUUGUUUUGCAUGGAAGAGAACCACACAUCAAUACUCCAAAGCAGGAUGAUUCCAGAGGAAUUUUAUCUUUAAAUAGAACCCAUCCUCAAUUAUAGUAAACUUAAAAGGGAAAAAAAAAAUGUAUCACUGUGAAAUAACUCACAGCUACAUCAUAUUUGAUUUUUUAAAAAACAAAAACCUUCUGUAAUAAGACCUUAAAGUAACCCAACUUUAAGCACUGCUCUUUUCUCCCCAGACACACAACCUAAGGCUUUAUCUGUCAUAAAACUGCAUGAUUCGAAAGCUUUAUUUCUGUAUGCAGAUGCUACUUGUUAAUGAUGGAAGCCAAAUUGUUGUAUUGCUAUGUCUUUUGUGUCUAGCAGUUGAGAGAAUUAUGUGACCAAUGAUAUAAUUGGAUUGUGGGGUUGCCCUUUGCAAAAUAAAUUUCUUUGAUUAUUGUUGCUGCUUUAAUUAUUAGAAAAUGAACCAUUUGUUACAUGCCCCCAAAUUAUAAGUUUUGUAAAAAUUGGAAAGAAAGUUGCUCCUAAAUUGACUCUUUUUUAACUUUAUGCAUUCACACAACAACAAUCUGGUGUAAUGUAGAAAAUGGAAGCACAUAUUUUGGGCAGAAAAACGCCAAUUAAAAAUACUUAUGAAAAAUUAUUAUCCCUGUGCAACAAUUAUAGAUUUAAAUAAUCAUAAUAUUUAACAAAUAUAAACUGUUCUCAUAAUUUUUUGCCUCAAAAAUGCAAUAGCUCAUUCCCUCAACUGCUAUCAGUAGGGCAGAUGCUUUGAUUUUUUUUUGGUUUUCUUCCAAGUUAUUGUGCUGUACUGCUUGUUCGUGUUUAGAAGUGUGCGUUAUGCAUUUCAUUUUAGUACGCUGUUUCUAUGUUGUUUUUGUUCUUUUAAUAAAAUGUGUAAAUUUCGGGGUUAUGUCUUUUUUAUGAAUCCAUAUUCACACAUUAAGAAUUCACUUAAAAGCUGUUUGUCUUCUAGUAUAUUCAAAUAUUUUGUAAUUCUAUAAAAUUUAAAUUUGUGAUUUGGUUCAAUACUAUAGUUCUUACAUAGAAUAAAUUUAUUUCCAAUAUAUACCUUCAGUAUUUCGAAUUAUAUAGAUAAUCCAUCCAUUGUAUUAGAUGUAUUAUUCCUAUAAAAUUGAUGUCACUGACACAAGAAAGAUACACUUGUGUUUCAGCAAAAGAACACUAAAAAUUUUGCGAGAAUGCCUAUUGGUUUCUAUUGUGCUUCAGAAACUCUGAGGCAUCGUCUAAGAUAUCUUAUUAGGAGUUUAUAUUUUCCUGUUACUCAUUUCUAUCCUGCAUCUUCAGUGUAACAUAGGAGACCAGUGUCAUUCAUUUCAUUCUUCUCGAGAUUGGCACCAAUGGUUUCAUAUCAACAGGACGCAUGAAUUUUUCCAUUAAGAUAUCUUCUCUCACUUAAAAUUGGUUAUCUCCCACACAUGGCACAAGGAUGAAGGCAUGAUCGUUUCCUAUUCUCUACUGAAAGCCAAGUGUAAAGCUUGGUAAUACUUUAUUCUGUCAGAUUUCCUCAUAAUGAAAAACAUUAAUCAGUAGUCGGGCUGAUAGAAAACUAAGGUGAAGAGACUUUGGAUGAGAGGCUGUGACCGAGUAAAGUAUUAUCCACGUGUCUGUAACCGAAAAGGGCCUGGAAGGAGGUCGGAUCCUUGUCCAGUAUCAGCUGAAUCAGACAGAGCUACUAGCUCCCCUGCCCCUCGCACCUGCUUUACCAUUUCUCAGUGUGGCUGACACUGUGGCGUUUCUUGACAAGCCGACUUUGGGCCCUUGGAUGUGUUGUAUACAUUUCUGUGACUGAACAUUUCUAGCACUAAGAGCGGUUCAGUUUAAAACAUUUACGAGAGGUCUUGGGCCUCUAAAGAAUUCAGCUGAUGUCUCUUUGAAGCUGCUGAAUGACAGAACAAAGAGUUCAGGGCAGGCACUUUCAGCCGCCAUCGUGACGGGCUUUCUCUUGGCCAGAGGCAAGUGGACCCAUAGGCAAAACCGGAUGUUAGCCAAAGUUGACCUUGGCACUGUUCAGCCUUUUCCCUUUGAGCCCCUCCCCUUCUCAUACCCUCAAGGUGGCCUCUGGCUUUCUAGAAGCCCCAUGGUAACAACCGAUCAGACCUGCUUCCCCCGGUAGAUGAUGGGCGAGAAUGGAUUUUUUUUUUUUUCCUCCAGAACUUUCCUGUUGGACAUCUCAGGCUGUGAAGAGCAGUUCAUAGAGCUCUUAAGUGACAAAUCACUAUGGUGUUAGAGACUGGCCGGGCUGCGAGUUUUACUGCAGCUCGAAUCUGGGCACUUGAACCACAGCAUUUAACGAGCAGCCAAAUUCCUAUGGGUGGGUGGUACCAUCAUUUGCCACCUCGAGAAGGCCAAAGAAAGACUCGAGAUUCUGUCAUUGUCAGGAAAGUUCUGAUAGCACAUCGAACCAAAAACCCUGACGAUAUAGUGAGCAUCCCCAAAUCCCAGAGACUUGAAUCCACCCCAGGGCAGCCUCUGCAGGAAAGCGCGUGACAGAGUGAUGGGCCUGACAAACAGUGACAUUUCUGGAGUGGCCUCAUACUUGCUAAUACUCAGCACACAGACGCAUGUACUCUUGAGUUUUUAAUGUGACUCUUCCCUGUACCAGAAGUGCCCGAUAACUGAGCCUCCUGGAUUUUCCUUUUAGUGCCUGGACUUCCAUCUCUCCCUUUGGCAGGAGGACAGUGGGAGCCCAGACAAUAAAAGCCAAGAAUGCCAGUGAUGCAAAGGGCAGCCACCCAGACAGAAGGGUGAGGCUUGUGAGAGCAUCAGGAGAUCUGAUUCCUGUCCUUUCAAAUAGUUGCCCCCAAUCAAAAGCACAGCAUCCCAAAGUGGCUGUGGCAAGUGGCAUUAAGAAGGAAGUUCUGGGCUGGGUGGCCUGGCACUUCUGUAUUGUGCAUGUAAACGGAGUGCCCUGCAGAGGCAGGCGGGACACCCAGAGCAGAACUGAUGAGAGAGGGAGGGAGAUUUCACCCCAUGAGUGAGUCGGUGCACCGCAUGCACGCACCAGUGCAGAAAGAGAAACUGGUCAAAAAUCAUCGAGUAACUGGAUGAAUAGCAGCAAGCAGUAGCAACAGCACCUGUUAAAACAGCCAGCCUGUUCGCGAGCAGCUGGACUUGCGAAUGCAGAACGAACCCGAGUCUCUGCAGUCAGCACGCUUCUAGAGACCUUAUGGCUCCAGCAAAUGAUAGUCAACCCAUCAAGGAUCAGUGUCGUUUUCAGGAGGGUGGGGGAAGAGUAGAGUCAGGACUGGGACUUUGCCUUUAGCCUUCCCGACCUGACGAGUCGAACAAUUCUUUGCUGGGCAAAUUGGCAGUUAAGAGAGAAUCAUAUCUGUGUUAAUUAUACAUAUAUAUAAUAUAUAUAUAUAUAGUAAGUGGUUAUUGAUGUGCCUUUGUUAACUAUUUAAUAAAUGUAUCUGUAGUUC